AUGCACCUGCUGAGAGCCAUGACGCUGUACCCCAGCUCCUACGCCUGCUUUCUGGGGGCUCAGUCUGGGGCCGGAGCAGAUGAAAAGUACAGGAAAACUACACCUAGCAUGGCUGCUGCUGCUGUGGGAGGCCAGGGCCCGGGAGUGGCGGUCAUUCCCGCUCCCCACCCAGCUUCCCCGGCACUCUCUCUCCCGGUAGCAGGUGAGGGCGCAGGGUUUGAAAGAUGGCGGAUGAUGUGGACCAGCAACAAACCACCAACACUGUAGAGGAGCUGCUGGAUCUCAUCAGACUCAGCCUGGAUGAGCAAAUCUAUGUGAAAUGAGAAAUGACUGGGAGCUUUGAGGCAGACUAUAUGCUUAUGAUCAGCAUUUAAAUAUGAUACUGGGAGACGUGGAAGAAACUGUGACUACUAUAGAAAUUGAUGAAGAGACAUAUGAAGAGAUAUACAAAUCAACAAAACGGAACAUCCCGAUGCUCUUUGUCCAGGGAGACGGUGCUGUGCUAGUUGCCCCUCCACGAAGAGUUGGCUGAAAUGGAGAAUCUGUCCUGUGUGGAAACAGUUGCCUCUUUAACUGCACAAGACAUUCAGAGGACAAGGCUGCACACACACUGCUACUGAGAAAUAGCCAGGGGAUUUAUUGACCCCUGAAAUGAGUUGAUUUGCAAAUACCUUACAACAUUUGAAGCUAAGUAGCAUUUUUGCUUUUCUUUUAGCCUUCCACUAAACAUGUUCACCAAGGUGCUGGACUCUUUUCCAGGAGUUGAUUUGCUCUUUACAUUAAACUCAAUGUUUCCUUUUUAAUUUAAAAAAAAUAAAAUAAAAUGCUUCAGGCUAGAUCAAAAAAUUAUAGAAAGUAUCCCAGUACCUCCCCAUAACUCCUCCACUGCCUGUGGUUCUGCCCUAGCAUAAUAUGGAUAACUUGUUUUAGGAUUUGCACCAAGCUCUGAAGUUCUAAUAGUGAGCUCUACUUUCUCUAGAAAGCCAUUGUCACAGUGUUGCUCUAUCCAAGCAACAGAACAGCAUGAACUGAUUUAUGGAUCAAAUGUUUUUAGACAUUUGGUUUAUGCCUUCAUGAACCCAUUUUCUGCAAACAAUGAGACAAGAAAACAUCUGCUCCCCAAAAUGCUGAGCCAGGUGAUAUAAUAUCCUUUUCCCUCUUCCUUUUCCUCUGCUUUAAAUAGAGGCCCAUCCUUGUUUACAGGAUGAGGGCAAGAGGUAAAGUUCUUUCCAGAAAGGAUGCAGGGUAUGAUAUUGUUAUCAGCGUAUUGUGUAGAGUCCUUACCUUGGCUGCCCAAGGAGAUUUAUCAAGAAAAGAGUAGCUAAGUUCUCACCUCUGUGAGUGUCUAACUGUGAGGACCCUCCUGGAGCCCUGAAG
rnacentral:lncRNA from 1 species